rnacentral:lncRNA from 1 species
UUUGUUUGCAUUGAGAAUCCGAUUGAGAAUUAUCAGCCUUUUGUCUUCGCAAUUGAUAGUUUCUGCGACGUCUGGCAAGAUGUUUUUCUCUCUCUUCAAGACUCAUAGAUUGUCUUCUUUGUCUGUCCCUGAUCCGGCGUCUUUCUCUCUCUUGCUCCCUCUGCAUGAUACGCAGCACUGAUUUUUCUGAAAUGUCCUGAGUAGUCAUCCUUAUUAGCUGGGAUCAUUCAAUCGAAUAGUGAUCUCUCCUUGACUUCAGAUUCAGAUAGUUCUUCUACAAUCAGUGCAAUAAACAAUUUUUAGUAAUUUCUGUGCACUGUAAAGGGUUUAUUUAUUUUUUUGGGCAUCAAAGAAAUUAGUUACAAAGCAAGUUUAACUUGGAAUUGGCCUUAAGGAUUAACACCCCCAACUUAGAAUAACUUUUAGCAAACCAAACACAUUUGAGACAAUCGACCCGUUCUUCCUCAAGACUGGAAUUAUGAACAUAAUUGAUAGAAGAGGGCAAAAGAAUACCUCAGUGAUUUUGAGGAUAAUGUGGGAUCAGCUUGUUUGCUUUCUUUUACUUACGGAUUACAUAUUCGAUAACAGAAAACUACAUAAACAAAACUUUAUAAUUAAAACAUAUUCAACAAACAAUUAUUUGUCUUUUCUUCACGUAAAUCCUUAAAUGGCAGGCAUCACCACACAGGCAAAACAAUGGGAGUAUGUAGUAGCACCAAAACCACAAACCCAUUAGGGCAAUAUCCGCCUUGAGAGGGCUAGAUACCCAAAAAAUGACUAAAAGCCCGCCUCUGUUUGGGAGGCAACUGGCAUUGCGUACUAGCAGCCACAAACACAAUGGGUCAAUAACAGUCGCCCAGCACAAUCACCAACUCACCAUACAAAUUAUGCAAUUGAAUCAUGUGCGUAAACCUAACAAUACUAAACAGAGAAAAACCCCUUUGCAUUCUCCACUCCAAUCAAUCCAAAAUGCACUCAAGUGGAAGCCCCCGCCCCCCAAACAACAGAUUAUCAACUUUUGGAAUGAAAGUUACCUUCUUUCCACAAAAGGUUCAAUUAAUAUCAUCAUUAUCACAAUCAAAAUAUCUAAUACAAUAACCACCAUUACGAAACCCUAAAAACCCUGAAAGUGCCAAGAAAAGCGUUGAUUAUCGAGCAAACAAAUGGCUAUUCACAAGAGCAAGGCGACAAACAAAACACAGAACCACACGUAUAUGUAUUCAACAAGGAAUUCAACAGGAGCAAACAAAUCGACAUUCGAGAAAAAUACCUAAAGUACAAGACGCAACAAACAAAACAAAUGAAUACAAAUGAACAAAGAAUCAUACCGGUUCGUGGACGCGAGAAGAUAUGAUUCGGAGGGAGAAAAUGGCAGUGGCGUGAACUGAUGAGACUGCCAAUAGAUUCGAUUAUGCGAUAGACAGGGAUGAAUCGAGAGAGGAGAUGGAGGAGAUGAGAUUAUCGAUAUAUCGCUAAGGAAACGUAUAACUCCUUCGGAAUCGUGUCGAUGCAUAUAUAGCAUGAAUGUGGUUAUUAUGAUGGUUAUGAUGAUUACGUUCUUACCAUCUUUAUAUGAUAGGAGGCUGGAUUCUCUGUUUCGCAAACCACUCCCAUUUCCUCCUCCUUCCAAUCAUCGCCCGUUAAUCACGUGGGACCCCUUCCAUGACUCCCAUUUCUUUUUCAAUACCAUUUUUAUUUUUGGAAUGUUUUAA